GGGCCCAUAGCUCAACUGGCAGAGCUUCCGGCUCAUAACCGGGAGGUUCCGGGUUCGAAGCCUGGUGGGCCCACUA
rnacentral:tRNA from 1 species